CUUUAUUUUUGUUGUGCAUACGUUAACAAGCAGCUUGCAAUGCCACGACGGCAAGGAAGGCACAAUAUCAACAGAUUCUAACAUAGGUAUGGCAUUGAGAUUGCAGCCCAAUUUUUAAAUGUAAUAAGAGUUACUAAAAUGCGUAGAGACAGAAAACUUGGCAUAGUAUAUGCAUUAAAAUCUAUGUGUCAGGUGAGUUAGAAAAGCAAGCAGUGUCUAAACCUGACUCAUACUGUUGGGCAAUGCCUUAUUUUCUUUUGAUAGAUAAAAUACAAAAGUAAGCUAGACACAUAGACAAGGUCCGUUGAGAACAAAUAACUAUUGACCCGCCACCCUGACCAGACAUUCUAGGAACAUAGUGAGGUUAACUUAAAUGCUAAGACUUAGGGUUUCAACAAGAAAAUAAUAUUUAGUUGCCCAUCAUACACAAGUAGCCCAUCGGCAUCCGCCAUUACGGUACUGGGGCAUUACUCUGGUGUGGAUAUCGAAGCCCUGCUCAACCUAUCACUUUGCAGUCCAUUGGGUCCACGUAUUCUUCUGCUCUUGAGCGCCGAGAUAGGCGCCCCCUCCAUUUCCAGGCCUGAGUGAGGGUCCGCAUCUUGGAUCUAUAAACUCGAGACCGCCUUGGAGCCAAGUUUUUCCCGUGGUAGGGUGGCUGGAGGAGCUUGAUGUUAAGUGCCUGCUCUUGCUGGAGGUUUCCGGCCGGUAUGGUCGUCGUUUGAAGGUUGUACCUCGGGAGACUCUCAGCCUGUGAUGGCGGAUUGUCACUGGAGUGUGAGUAGGAGUCUUUGCCCACAGUUUAUUUCCCCUUCUUCAGCAUGGCAUUGCUCCUGUCCACUGUUAUGUGCUUCUGUUGUGGCUGCUGUAUUUGAGCCUGCAGUUUGUCUUAGAAGGCAUUUAAGAUAUCAUCUAGGUGCAGCAUGCCUUGCUCAAUGUAGCUGUGAGACGUUGGCUGCAUAGGGCCCAGGCCUUGCAUGUUGCAGAGGAGCCUGUCGUCAAUUUGGGCAGUGAGAGUUGCGGCGGUGCUUCUCAGUGCUUAAGCCAGGUGCCAGGGUAGUGUGAUUCCAAAUGUGUUGUGAUCAGCGGGGACCUGGAUAACCGGUUUGAUUAGUCGCGGUGAGCAGUUUUUUUUGUGAUUUUUGCUGUAUCGUGUGAGAAGCUCACCAACCAUGCUUCCACUCAGUAUGGCGGUCAGGCCCCG